UCCCAAAAAUAUUUCAUUUGGCGCUGCUCCUCUCCUUCCUCUUCUCUGUUUCCCUAAAACCUAUUUUCAUUUCCGGCUUCUCUACUCUUCCCCUCUCUGGUUUCUCUGCUCUUCCCCUCUCUCUUCUCUUCCUCUCUUUGGUUUCUCUGUGCGCGAAAUCAACACUCACAACACUCAUAACGCACACCGCACUCCACCACCACCGCCGCGUCGCCGCUGCUGGUCCCCCACCGUCGCGUCGCCGCUGCUGGCCCCCCACCGUCGUGUCACCGCUGGUACUCCCUCACCGCCGCGUCUCCGCUGCUGCUCCCCCACCGCCGCGAAUUUUGGAAAGUCAAAUUUCAAUUUGCGUUUCUCCAAAUCCUAGAAAAUGUGGGGUGGCUUUUUCCGGGUGUUAUUACCUCUGAAGCUGUUGAUGUCCUAAGGAAAGCCAAUGUUGUAGUUGCACCGGCCAUGGAUGCUAGAGCUGGGGGGGGGGUUGCUGUUGGAGAACUUGAACAAAUCAUGUGUUCAAUCUGAUGCAAUGGACCCCUAAAGACUUUGAAUCUAAAUUACAGGAUCAUGAUCGUGGAAAAGAAAAUGUCAGACUGAAAAAAGGAGUUGCAAUCCAUAAGCCAAAAAGUAGAGUGAUGCUAAUGCAAAGAAAAAAUUGAACAAGGAUAAUCAGGAAGCAUAUAGGAAGAAAUUAAUGGACGAAAAAAGGGCUCUAAAAGGAGGUCAAUUUUUUGUUGUACAAAUCAAUUUUGCGGAUCAUGUUCAGAUGAGAGCUUACUGAGUUUUUUCAUAACCCAUCAAGAAAAGUCAUGUAAAGCAGAUUUGAGGGCUGAAGCUGCUAAACAGAAGCAGUUGGAGAAAGAGAGGAAGAAAUUGGAGAACUAUAAGUUCAAUGAGAAUGACAUCGUGGCUGAAAUUGAUCUAAACGUUCUGUCAGGUUCACUUAGAGGUCCUCUGCUAACAAUGUUUAACGAGAAAGGUCUCAAUUAUAAAAUAAAUCCAAAUCCCGUUGAAGAAUCAAUUGUUUGGAGAUUUACUCUUCCAGAAAAUAUUUAUCAGAAGUCUGAAGUGAAACCAGAUAUUCGAUAUAUAUUGCUCAUUUAUGAUGCUGCUGCAACAGACUUGCAAGUUCAGACACAAAUAAUUCUCACACACCGAAAUAGGAGAAGCAAGGAGAAGUUUAAUUGAUGAAAACUCAACAGAGUGGAAUACAAAAUCAGUAGCUUUAGGCUACCACUCUCAAGUUGUUGUUGGUCCCCUUUUGUGCUUCCUGCUGUACACGAGUUGGACGGUUAGGAUGGUUCAUUACAGAUGCUGAGGAAUUUUGUAACCGUGCUAAUGAUGGAUCUCUUAUGGUUCAUAUUUCUUCUAUGCGUUAUCAUUCUUACACAAUCUGCUGCCUCACUAACAGGUUGAUUUAUUUUUAUCAAUUAAAGAUUUUGUUAAGGUAUUCAACAAUCCGUGGGACCAGCUUUUCACCACCGUGGGGAUAAAUGAAGUUCGAGACAAGUUGACAAACUUCAUUACUAGUGAUUAUCUUUGAUAUUUUCUUGUAAUGAAUCUUAUAUUAUGGAUUCUAGUUUUUCAUAUGAUUAUAAUGUAAUCGACUUUUAGAUUUACAAUUAUAUACUUUUUAAUUUAAUUAUCUAUAUAAUUGGAUACUUUUAUGUGAUGUAUGGAGGUUAAUCAAUGGCGUGGUCCAAUUGUAUAAUAUAUGUAGCAGGGUUAUAUAACAAAUCUUGAUCAAGUGCGGCUCACUUAUAGGCCAAGUGCGGCUCAUUUAUAUAUCAAGUGCAGCUCAUUUUUAUGCUUGUGCUGCCCAUUUCUAUGUCAAGUGCGGGCUCAUUUUCAAAUUUGGCAGCACCAAAUAUGUCAAGUGCGGGCUCAUUUUCAAAAUUGGCAGCACCAAGUUUGUCAAGUGCGGGCUCAUAUUCUGAAAUUGGCAGCACCAAAUUAGUCAAGUGCGGGCUCAUUUUUCAAAUUGGCAGCACUUGAAACAUCAAGUGCUGCCAAUAUUUUGGCAGCACUUGAGAAACAUCAAGUGCGGGCACUCCAUGUGCUGCACAUGUAAAAGCCCGCACUAAACCCCUUAAAAUGAGCCCGCACUUGAGCUUUUUUCCUCUAGUGUAUUUUUCUGAGAUGGAAUUUUUGUGUUGAAGGAGUGUCGCACCAUCUUCUGGGAACAAUCAGCCCGGCCCUAUUGUGGAAUUCACUUCUAAAGAUUUCCGAGAUGCUGCUAUACCUGUCGAACCUUGAAUGAGAGCCAGCGGCUCCUUGCCCACACGACUGCUGCCUUGGGCCUUCCCAGCUCCAGACAUCGCGGAGACGGCUGCCUCUGGCGUGGUUUUGUCGGUGAGCUUUGUUCGGGGAAGCGAACAUUGCGGUCGGCGAAAAGGUUGUUGGAGCAGUUGCUGCAGUAUUCUUCUUCUGAUGAUGGGAGUGGACCUCAUAAUCCUAGCAUUAUUGUAGCUGCGGCACUGUCGAAAAUGAAUAGAAUGAGAGAUGUCAAAAUGUUGAGUGACAAGUCGAAGCUAAAGAGAC